rnacentral:rRNA from 1 species
AGUCCCAGUUCGGAUAAGAGGCUGAAACUCGCCUCUUUGAAGUCGGAAUCGCUAGUAAUCGCAGAUCAGCAUGUUGCGGUGAAUACGUUCCCGGGUCUUGUACACACCGCCCGUCAAACCAUGAGAGUCACCAACACCCGAAGUCCGCCUUGGCGGCCUAAGGUGGGGGAGAUGAUUGGGGUUAAGUCGUAACAAGGUAAC